AGCUGGGCCCCCGCGCGUCACCCCGCGCCUCGCCGGCUGCAGGCGCCGGGAUUGCGGCCUCCCAGGCGCCGCGGCCCGCGUGGACUCAGCUCCGAGUUCUCCGCCCCCGCUCCGCCCUGCUCGCAGCUCAGGCCCCAGCCAUAUGACUGCCAGGUCCCAACGGCGAAUGGCGCACCUGGGCACCAGUGCGCUAGGCUAUACCUCUGUCCCCGGGCUCUGACACGCGGGACUGCACCACGAAACACGUGCCCAACCCCAAGACGAGAACACGUGCGGCAAGACGCCGCCAAGGGGCUGUCUGCAUUCGUGGAUGCCCUGGGUAAUCGACCUAUAUUGGCGCACAACUGCAGAGCUCUUGCUAAGACGUGACCACCCGAGGCUAACAACGCUGGCUUUGGAGUCACAGCCGAGCCCCGCCUCGAUAACUUACUAGCUGUGUGACUUCGGCCAAGUCACCACCUCUCUGCGCCUCAGCUUGCUCAUCAGCAAAAUGGAAUUGUGAGGCCUAAUUGAUACAAAAUACGUUCAACGCUUAUCAUGGUGUUUGGCACGUGGUUCUGAAAAUCUGUGGUUGGAAUUAUUUCUUCUUGGCUGUGAAAGCCAAGGCCCCAAAGACUUCGAUUAGGGGCGCACGUUUAGCCCGGAGGCUAGGAGUUCCGCUUCGGGAGCUCCCCAGCACCUCAGCCUAGGCGCACAGGCAGCUAGCGGGAGGCCCGUGCGGGCUGCUUAGGGACUGGGACCGCCUGGGGCGCGGCGGGCGGGGUUGCAGUCUCCAGAGCUCGCCACGUCCGCACCCGGAACCCUGGAAACGGGGCUCCCAGAGACUCCCCAGCUACCAUCCCCCCGCCCCCCGCCCACCGCCCGUCCCAGCACCAUUAGCAACAGGCCUGCCCGCCCGCCCUCCCAGGCUGAGGCCGCACCUGACCCACCGGAUGGCGGCUUCUGGGCCGAGCCGUGCCCCCCAGCGUGCACACUUCCUCCCGGACCCCCAGCGCCCCGUCGAGUGCACAGAGGGAGGGGAUCGGGCCGCCCCGCCCCGCCAGCUUCCCACAGCCUGAGCUGCCCGGAGCCGGGGAGGCAGGAAGUCUCAGAGCCGGGGCGUGGAGGCGGGGUGGGGGCAGGAAGUUGGGGGUGACUCUCCCAGAGACCCCAGACAGGGCCCCGGCGUGGGAGCGGGGUGGGCGGGCACGUAGGGAUUAAGGGCGCCCCCCUCCUCUGUAGCCUUAGGCCAUGUGACCCCGGCUGGAACACCCUGCAGGGUGAGGGCGAAGGCCGCUACCUCUGGCGACCCCCAGCAGCGCGCACAGGGAGGGAGGGGCCGCCUUUGUCUACUUUGCCGCAGAGGCAGCCCCCACAACCCCUCCCCCCAGCGCCCCGCCGGGCCCUGCACAGCCCGGGUUUUCCAUCCGGCCCGGCUCGGCUCGGCAGCUGUCAGGGGACCGAGCUGACCUUCGCGAGCAGGGAGUUUCAAUUAGCCGCAGAUCAGAUAAGCGGGCGGGCCCGUCUCUCCGGGCACUGCGGGGGCUCAGCCCCGCCCCGCCACGCCGCGCCAAACGCGCUCCAGAUGGGAACAAAGAUGAGGACGCAGCUCCACCUGCCUCCCCGGGGAAGGGAAGAGGAGGCCCCGCCGGGAGGAGCUUCCCACCAGGGGAAGGGGUCACACGCCCUGCCCUGCCCUGCCCGUCUGGGAUUCCAGGGGCAUGGGUCUGGCCAAGAUGAUCUUUGCGGUUCUGCUUGCCUCCUGCACUGAGGAGAGGUGCCUGCUGCACU
ensembl:lncRNA